rnacentral:snRNA from 1 species
AAAAAGGGCUUCUGUCAUGAGUGGCACACGUAGGGCAGCUUGUUUGCUCUAUGUGUGGAAUCAACAUCAAGAGAUUUCAGAAGCAUAAUUUUUGUUGUUUGGUAAAUGUUGGUCCCGGUGCCCUU